rnacentral:rRNA from 1 species
GACGAACGCUGGCGGCGUGCUUAACACAUGCAAGUCGAACGGAAAGGCCCUGAUUUUGCUGGGUGCACGAGUGGCGAACGGGUGAGUAAAACGUGAGUAACAUGCACCUGACUUUGGGGUAAAUUCAGGAAACUGGGGCUCAUAUCGGAUAGGAGCUCCUGCUGCACGGUGGGGGUUGGUAAGAUUCGGCGGUUGGGGAUGGAAUCGCGGGUUAUCAGCUUGUUUGUGGGGUAGGGGCUUACCAAGGCUUCGACGGGUAGCCGGCAUGAGAGGUUGACCGGCCACAAUGGGACUGAGGUACGGCCCAGACUGCUACGGGCGGCAGCAGGGGGGAAUAUUGCACAAUGGCCGGAAGCCUGAUGCAGCGACGCUGCGUGCGUGAUGACGGCCUUCGGGUUGUAAACCGCUUUCUCCUGUGACGAAGCGUGAGUGACGGUAAUGGGUAAGGAAGCACCGGCUAACUACGUG